AUUAGAGUUUGAUCCUGGCUCAGAUUGAACGCUGGCGGAAUGCUUUACACAUGCAAGUCGAGCGGCAGCGCGGGGCAACCUGGCGGCGAGCGGCGAACGGGUGAGUAAUGCAUCGGAACAUGUCCAUGUCGUGGGGGAUAGCCCGGCGAAAGCCGGAUUAAUACCGCAUACGCCCUGAGGGGGAAAGUGGGGGACCGCAAGGCCUCACGCGAUUGGGUUGGCCGAUGUCCGAUUAGCUAGUUGGCGGGGUAAGAGCCCACCAAGGCGAUGAUCGGUAGCUGGUCUGAGAGGAUGAUCAGCCACACUGGGACUGAGACACGGCCCAGACUCCUACGGGAGGCAGCAGUGGGGAAUUUUGGACAAUGGGGGCAACCCUGAUCCAGCCAUUCCGCGUGAGUGAAGAAGGCCUUCGGGUUGUAAAGCUCUUUUGUCCGGAACGAAACGGUUACGGUGAAUACCCGUGACUACUGACGGUACCGGAAGAAUAAGCACCGGCUAACUACGUGCCAGCAGCCGCGGUAAUACGUAGGGUGCGAGCGUUAAUCGGAAUUACUGGGCGUAAAGCGUGCGCAGGCGGUUUUGUAAGCCAGAUGUGAAAUCCCCGGGCUUAACCUGGGAAUGGCAUUUGGGACUGCAAGGCUUGAGUGCGGCAGAGGAGACUGGAAUUCCUGGUGUAGCAGUGAAAUGCGUAGAUAUCAGGAGGAAUACCGAUGGCGAAGGCAGGUCUCUGGGCUGACACUGACGCUCAUGCACGAAAGCGUGGGGGAGCAAACAGGAUUAGAUACCCUGGUAGUCCACGCCCUAAACGAUGUCGACUGGUUGUUGGGGGUUUGACACUCUCAGUAACGAAGCUAACGCGUGAAGUCGACCGCCUGGGGAGUACGGCCGCAAGGUUAAAACUCAAAGGAAUUGACGGGGACCCGCACAAGCGGUGGAUUAUGUGGAUUAAUUCGAUGCAACGCGAAAAACCUUACCUACCCUUGACAUGUCCGGAAGCCUGCUGAGAGGCGGGUGUGCCCGAAAGGGAACCGGAACACAGGUGCUGCAUGGCUGUCGUCAGCUCGUGUCGUGAGAUGUUGGGUUAAGUCCCGCAACGAGCGCAACCCUUGUCAUUAGUUGCUACAUUCAGUUGGGCACUCUAAUGAGACUGCCGGUGACAAACCGGAGGAAGGUGGGGAUGACGUCAAGUCCUCAUGGCCCUUAUGGGUAGGGCUUCACACGUAAUACAAUGGCGCGUACAGAGGGUUGCCAAGGGGUGACCUGGAGCCAAUCCCGAAAAGCGCGUCGUAGUCCGGAUUGCAGUCUGCAACUCGACUGCAUGAAGUCGGAAUCGCUAGUAAUCGCGGAUCAGCAUGUCGCGGUGAAUACGUUCCCGGGUCUUGUACACACCGCCCGUCACACCAUGGGAGUGGGUUUCACCAGAAGCCGGUCGCCUAACCGCAAGGAGGGCGCCGACCACGGUGAGAUUCAUGACUGGGGUGAAGUCGUAACAAGGUAACCAAU
rnacentral:rRNA from 1 species